AUUGAACGCUGGCGGCAGGCCUAACACAUGCAAGUCGAACGAGUGGCGGACGGGUGAGUAAUGUCUGGGAAACUGCCCGAUUGAGGGGGAUAACUACUGGAAACGGUAGCUAAUACCGCAUACCAUGGGAUGGGCCCAGAUGGGAGUGGCUAGUGGGUGGGGUAAAGGCUCACCUAGGCGACGAUCCCUAGCUGGUCUGAGAGGAUGACCGGGCACACGGGAACUGAGAAACGGUCCAGCCGCCUAAGGGAGGCAGCAGUGGGGAAUAUUGCACAAUGGGCGCAAGCCUGAUACAGCCAUGCCGCGUGUAUGAAGAAGGCCUUCGGGUUGUAAAGUACUUUCAGCGGGGAGGCGUUACCCGCAGAAGAAGCACCGGCUAACUCCGUGCCAGCAGCCGCGGUAAUUC
rnacentral:rRNA from 1 species